rnacentral:rRNA from 1 species
UACAGAGGGUGCAAGCGUUAAUCGGAUUUACUGGGCCUAAAGCGCGCGUAGGCGGCUAAUUAAGUCAAAUGUGAAAUCCCCGAGCUUAACUUGGGAAUUGCAUUCGAUACUGGUUAGCUAGAGUGUGGGAGAGGAUGGUAGAAUUCCAGGUGUAGCGGUGAAAUGCGUAGAGAUCUGGAGGAACACCGGUGGCGAAGGCGGCAUCCUGGACCGGCAUUGACGCUGAGGCGCGAAAGCCAGGGGAGCAAACGGG